GCCGCCGUGGUGUAAUGGUUACACGCCGUGGCCAUAUACCCGGGUGAGGUAUAGCGUCACCUACGGAGUUCUGGGUUCGAGACCCAGCGGUGGCU